rnacentral:piRNA from 1 species
UCAACCAGGAAUGGAAGCCUGUUGAGGAGC